UUGGAGGGCAAGUCUGGUGCCAGCAGCCGCGGUAAUUCCAGCUCCAAUAGCGUAUAUUAAAGUUGUUGCAGUUAAAAAGCUCGUAGUUGAAUUUCGGAGUUUAUCGGUUGGUCGGGCUUCACUGUCCGCACGGACCUGAUUGAUUCCUACCUUCUGAAUAACCAGCAUGCUAUUAAGUUAGUGCGUUGGGGAAGCAGAGCUACUACCUUGAAAGAAUUAGAGUGCUUAAAGCAGGCUUAUGCUUGAAUAGAUUAGCAUGGAAUAAUAAAAUAGGACGGCAUGGUUCUAUUUUGUUGGUUUCUAGGAUCACCGUAAUGAUUAAUAGGGAUAGUUGGGGGCAUUAGUAUUCAAUUGUCAGAGGUGAAAUUCUUGGAUUUAUUGAAGACUAACUUCUGCGAAAGCAUUUGCCAAGGAUGUUUUCUUUAAUCAAGAACGAAAGUUAGGGGAUCGAAGACGAUCAGAUACCGUCGUAGUCUUAACCAUAAACUAUGCCGACUAGGGAUCGGACGAUGUUAAUUUUUUAAUGACUCGUUCGGCGCCUUACGGGAAAC
rnacentral:rRNA from 1 species